UUGAACUCCACUCCCAUGCUGGUAGGAGAGUAUUAAAUACUAAACACAUUAAUCACUUUAAGGUACAUUUCAAACAGAAACAAAAAAAUGUCACAAUUAAUUAUGGACAAUCAUGCGAUUUAUCGCGAUUAGCCCCAAUUUCUUUCCAUUUGGUUGCUUUUGUUGUUUGUCUACUUAAUAUUUGGCACAGACCUGCAGCAUGCUUGUUUCAUAAACUCAAAGUACAAUUCAUGAUAGCCUGCCAGAGAAAAAAGGAAAUACAUUCGAGUGAGGAAGCAUCAUAAAGAAACAGUCAUAAAAGCUUGAUGUUUACUCAGAGUUGGAGAGUGAAGCCUAAUUUAUACUUCUACGGAAAAGCUCGCAGAGCUUCUGCAGAGAUGGUUUGCGGCGUGCUGCUAAUGCAGACGGCACUAAUGCAGACGCCGCUAAUGCAGACACCUGCGGGUCCAAAUCGAAAACAAAUUACAGACUACGUGCAGUACUAUAAACUGUAUGCCUGGCGCGUGCGAGAGGUGCCCGCAUACAACGCAUAAUAUAAAUCAGGCAUCAGGCUAAUGGCAUACCAAAACGAUGACUGUCAGGAGAAGCCAUGACUCGUACAAUAAUGCUUAAAAUUCUUCUGAGCGUGUUGCGUAAGGAGGUUUUGAUCUCCCUGAUAGGAACUCUCACUGCCACACCCAGUUGCUUAAAGAGACGAACAAAACAUAGUAAUAGCAAUAGUUUAAUAUGCUGAGAAAUCAUUUCAGUCCUUUGGCAGCAGGAAAAUGAGCACUACAGGGAGGAAUGCAUGGGCAAACCCUGUUAUCUCAUUGAUGAUUCCUUCAGAUUUGGAUUUUGGAACUUCAGAAUGCAAUAAGAAGUCUGUAAUUGCCUUUAAAAGCACAUUGUUUGAUGUCAUUUUUUUGGCAAACACUAGUUGAACUUGGCUGUUCAAAUCAAAGACAUCUGAGAGCGUUGCGUGAGUGAUCUUGUCGCUGUAAAUGUUCCACUAUAUCUGAUUGACCGGGCUGGUUUUACCAGUCACUCUGUCCCUGGGGGGAUGACGUGAGGAGUGACGGCAGCACUCCACUGUAUUUUAGCCCCUCCUCCAAAUACCAAAACACAGCUGACCCGCAAAAUAGAUCAUUUUUCUCUGCUUUAGUCAUUGACAGAGCCAUCUCAAACAUGGCAGUCAUCUCGUCCUGUGUAACCAACACCCCGCACUACAUCAAUUAAUAAGCAACGCCAGGAAAUACAACUAACAAAUGUAGUCAUUCAACCCCUUUGACCGCUGAAAUGGAAUAAUUAACUGCCCUCAUUCAGACUUAGUGACUGAAAGACGCUCCGUCAAAGCUAAACAAACCACAAGUAGUCAUGUACAAAAGAGUGAAAGUUACAGUUACCCACGCUAACUCUAGUUAAGUAAGAGUAGGGCCAGGCGAUUAUUCAAUAUGAUAAUUUAUCAUCUUUCAAUUAGGGCUGUCAUUCAAUUAAAUUAUUUAAUUGCAUGAUUGUCCAUAGUUAAUCACGAUUAAUCGCACAUUUUUAAUGUUCGAAAUGUACCUUAAAUGGAGAUUUGUCAAGUAUUUAAUACUCUUAACACGCUAAACUAACUCUACUGAAUGUGGAUUUCAAGUGUGUUUUACAUACAGCUGCCAAAUUGAAUUCUGAACUAGUGAUGAUCUUGCAAAAUCCAAACAGUACACUCCCAAUGGAUGAUCUGCUGACUUGAGAGUGUAAAAGCAGGAACAUGUGUGCGGAAGCUGCAUUAUAGCGGCGACGCCGAGCAUCAGAAUGUUCCACCAGCAUGUCGCACACUAGUGCGAGGAGUCUGACUCUGCUGCCAAGAUACAUAUCUCAGGUCAAGCUAUGCAAUGUGAAAAAUGUCCUUAAUGCUGCUCUGAGGAGCCAGAUAAGAAUAAUGGGGUACUUCAAUUUAUAUCUUCAAGUGGUUCGGCUCAGAACUAGCAACAUGAUCUUUAUUCUAUUUGUCAGGUUAUGUUAAGGUUUAUAAGGUCUCUUCCUGUUCUCAUCACUUUUAAACAACUCAGCAGAAAUUCUUGGCAGCAACAAUCUGACAAUUGAGUGGAUGCCGCAAGUGAAUACUAGUGUCACAGAGUAAAAACAAUACGACACAUUCCUAUCAAGCCAGCGGGAUGACGAACACACUCAAGACUAAACAAAGGUUUUACCAAGUGUGCACUUCAGUCAGUAGAAAUAUCGGAUCACGGUUUAUUAAUGAAUGUAACAUUAGGCCGCCUAUGCCUAGAUGGUGUGGGUUUUUACUAGGAUAUGUUGGGAUUUGAUUUAACUAAACUUGUUUGUAAUGUGGCAAGAUCCUGUCAAAGAAAUGUUUUCACAAAAUUAGUUGUUUGUGUAAAAAAUAAAAUAAAAGCUAAUGUAUAACAGCCUCAAAAAUCCAGUAUUGAAUUGAAGCCUAGUUGAGGUCAAGUAGACACAUGCACACAGCAUAAAUACAGGCUUGGUACAUGCUCACCUUUAACUAUGUUAAAGUUCACACAACACACAACACUGACAGUAACUCCCUCCCGACGUCUAACGGACCCAUAAAUAACUUCAAUCUACAGCAAACAUUCCUGCUUGGUGUUGUGCCUCUCUUUAAGAUGAAAUGUCACAGGAUAAUUUCUCUGUUCUGCAACCUCGUCUUUUGCCGCAUCUGAAUAUAAGAAUGCAUGGCCCGCUGACAUGGUCAGUUGCAUGAUCAAAAUCAAAAGUUCAUUGUUAUGAAUGUGACUGCACGUAAUCCUCUAGAUUUGAAUGUGGCCAUUAGUUAGUCCAGCCAUGCAUGGCUGAUUUGUGGUAUGAUAAAAAUGAAUACCGGGGACUUAACGAUGCACAAAUUGAGAGCAAUCCAUCCUUUAUAAAAACACAUUUAAGAAAAAUAAACUUGAAGAAUAAAAAUUUAAAUAAAAGCUCGUCGUAGUAACCGUUACCCCUCCGGCACAGGAAUGCUGCCAAACUUGUCUGGACACUGACAUGUUUACACCAUCUCCCCCUUCAUUGUGUUUGUCUGAGGGUCUCAGCGACUCAGAUUUCUGGAACUUUCCACCAACAACAAUAGUACAUCGCCUCCUAAUGAACGAGCUCAAGCUGAUGCAGAUUGUGGAGAAAGAACUGCAGCUCAGCAGGUGGAGGAAAGUGAACUUGCAUGGUGGCAUCCUUAGAAGUUGUAACUGUGUUCUGGAGAUCUCAGCAUUGAACUUGGAUAAAACAAAUGUUUGAAUAAGGAUUGAAAUGAUAGCCAAACCUACAAAAACAAAAAAAAGAUCCAUGAUGUAAGGAACCAAUGGCACAUUGGGAGGCAAUGCUCAAGACUGUGCAAAAACAUACAAGUUCUGACUGGAGCCCUGCGUAAAGCAUCCUGCCAGUUUAGUAAUCUGAGAGGAAUUUCCAACCAGAGGAAAUGUACAGAGGAAAAAUUAACCAGGAAUAACACCUGCAUCUCUCCUACAACCUACCGAUAUGCUUAAAGAAAUUUGCUGCAAUACAGAUUGCCCACAUGUCAAACUAAAUAGUUAGCAGGUUUGUAUUUAGUAUAAGCAAGUACUACGAAUUGACACAAGAUUACUCCAACAAUAAAAAAAAAAA